AAACUAGCUGGGUGUUAGGGGCAGUGAUAGAGGAGUGUCUAUGUAACUAGCUGGGUGGGAGGGGUAGUGUCUAUGUAACUAGCUAGGUGGGAGGAGCUUCACACUAGUUGGGCGUGGUUAGGGGCAGUUGUAGAGAUAGGAGAAGUGCAUCAAGGGUUUGGUUGGAUACAGCAACAGGAAGUGCUACACACAAGAUAUAAAGGGAGGGAUUUGUUUACAUGGUGAAAAUGGGUCAGAAGAGUCCAAAUAAAAAAGACACACAUACACCCACACACCGUAGUAAAGCCCGGAAAACCCCUUUAAGCCUGCUAGACUAUAGCAGAGUAAAUCACUAAUUUCGUAACUCUUGCCUAAAGGACCUUUUUCUAUGCUUUACAAUUGAAUUUAGUUUUUCUGUUUUGUCUACAAAAUGUUUUAUUGAAGUGGCAUGUUUUAUGAUCUUACCUGAUUAUGUAACUUUAUAAUAGAAUAACUGCCUUUUUAAUGAAUUUAGCUUGACCUGUAUGUAUGACGAUGGAAUAAUACGAGUUUAAAAUAAAAUAAAAAUACACAUGAAGAAUAUUUGUGAAUAAACUUAACCUGAAAGCAUC